CACACACACACACACACACACACACACACACACACACACACACAAUAUAACACCCAGUUACACCAGCGUAUCAGGUUGCCAGUGGGAUCAAAAGGUCUGGUCCUAUGAAAUUAGUUGGCUGAAGAUGAGAGAGUCUGCCAUGAACCCUAUCUGACAUCUGAACAUAUGGAUGAAAGGUAAUCUUUCUUUCUUCCUCCGGCUCACUCUUUUAACACGUUCUCCUGUAGCCUUUGAUUCUCUCGAUCUCUCUCUCUCUCUCUCUCAUAAACCAUCACCUCAGUGCAUACAACCCUCCAGUUUUACUGCUUUUCUCCCUGCUGCCGUUUAUUAAAGGCUAAGUUAAGUCUAUUUUUUUAUGGCACACAAUAUAUCACAUGCCAUAUGUGUGCGUAUAUAUACACUACCGUUCAAAAGUUUGGGGUCAUCCAGACAAUUUUGUGUCUUCCAUGAAAACUCACUUUUAUUUAUCAAAUGAAUUGAAAAUUGAAUAGAAAAUAUAGUCAAGACAUUGACAAGGUUAGAAAUAAUGAUAAAUAUUUGAAGUAUUAAUUUUGUUCUUCAAACUUCAAGCUCAAAGGAAGGCCAGUUGUAUAGCUUAUAUCACCAGCAUAACUGUUUUCAGCUGUGCUAACAUAAUUGCACAAGGGUUUUCUAAUCAGAUAUUAGUCUUCUAAGGCGAUUAGCAAACACAAUGUACUAUUAGAUCACUGGAGUGAUCGUUGAUGGAAAUGGGCCUCUAUAUACCUAUGGAGAUAUUUCAUUAGAAACCAGACGUUUCCACCUAGAAUAGUCAUUUACCACAUUAAUUCAAUUCAAUUCAAUUCAGUUUAUUUGUAUAGCCCAAUUUCACAAAUUACAAAUUUGUCUCGGAGUGCUUUACAAUCUGUACACAUAGACAUCCCUGCCCCAAAACCUCACAUCGGACCAGGAAAAACUCCCAAAUAACCCUUCAGGGGGAAAAAAAGGGAAGAAACCUGCAGGAGAGCAACAGAGGAGGAUCCCUCUCCAGGAUGGACAGAUGCAAUAGAUGUAAUGUGUACAGAAGGACAGAUUUAGAGUUAAAAUACAUUCAAUGAAUAUGACAGAGUGUAUGAAUAGUUCAUAGUAGGCAUAUUCCACGAUGGAGACCUCCACGAUCCAUCAGGCAGAUGGCGGUGGGGAGGAGUGGGCGGAGUCUCAACAGGACAGUGGCGUAGUCAGGAGCAGGAAUUUCCACGACCCAGACCUCGAUGAUCCAUCAGGCAGAUAGGAUCUAUGCCGUCUCAUAGGGUCCGAUGACCCCAUGAGACGUGAAGUCAAAAGGACUCCGGGGAGAAAGCAGAGUUAGUAACGUGUGAUUGAGAGAUGAAAAUUAAUCCCUAAGGAGAGAAAAAAGAGGAGAUAGGUGCUCAGUGCAUCCUAAAACGUCCCCCGGCAGCUAUAAGCCUAUAGCAGCAUAUCAAGGGGCUGGACCAGGUGAACCUGAUUCAGCCCUAACUAUAAGCUCUGUCAAAGAGGAAAGUCUUAAGUCUACUCUUAAACGAGGUGACUGUGUCUGCCUCCCGGACUGAAAUUGGAAGCUGGUUCCAUAAAAGAGGAGCUUGAUAACUAAAGGCUCUGGCUCCCAUUCUACUUUUUAAGACUCUAGGAACUACAAGUAGUCCCGCAUUUAGUGAGCGCAGCUCUCUAGUGGGGCAAUAUGGUACUACAAGCUCCUUAAGAUAUGAUGGUGCAUCACCAAUCAAGGCUUUGUACGUUAAGAGAAGAAUUUUAAAAGUGAUUCUUGAUUUUACUGGGAGCCAGUGCAGAGCAGCUAGUGCAGGAGUGAUGUGAUCUCUUUUCUUAGUUUUAGUGAGAACACGAGCUGCAGCAUUCUGGAUCAACUGGAGGGACCUAAGAGAUUUAUUAGAGCAGCCUGAUAAUAAGGAGUUGCAGUAAUCCAGUCUCGAAGUAACGAACGCGUGUACCAAUUUUUCUGCAUCUUUUUGAGACAAGAUGUGCCUGAUUUUUGAAAUAUUACGUAGAUGAAAGAAUGCAGUCCUUGAGAGUUGCAUUACGUGGGAGUUAAAGGACAAGUCCCGAUCAAAGAUAACGCCAAGAUUCUUUACAGUGGUGUUGGAUGCCAGGGCAAUGCCGUCUACAGAAACCACGUCACCAGAUAAUUGAUCUCUGAGGUGCUCAGGGCCGAGUAAAAUUACUUCGGUUUUGUCUGAGUUUAACAUCAAGAAGUUGCAGGUCAUCCAUGUUUUUAUGUCUUUAAGACAUGCUUGAAUUUUACCGAGUUGGUUGCUCUCCUCUGGUUUUAUCGAUAAAUACAGUUGAGUAUCAUCUGCAUAACAAUGAAAGUUUAUGGACAUUAACAAUGUAUAGUGUGUAUUUUUGAUUAAUGUUAUCUUUAUUGAAAAAACAGUGCUUUUCUUUGAAAAAUAAAGACAUUUCUAAGUGACCCCAAACUUUUGAACGGUAGUGUAUAUUUAUAUAUGUAUAUAUAUAUAUAUAUGAAUAUAAAGUGUUAUUGGUUGCUGAUAUCCCUUCUUACGCUGCGAGACACACGCAUUAAUGAGGUUCUGCUCCCGCUAACAUGAGGCAGCAGGCGGGAUCAGCCAGAUCAAGAGGUUCUGAAUAUAUAUGUGUAUAUACAGGGGUGCACAUAACUUUUUCAGUGAGUUACACAGGUGAGUCCCGGGAGAUGGGCUGUGUCUACUACCGCGCACUUGAGCACUUCGAGCACUGACUUUCAGUGUUCGAAGUGCGCCACUGAAAAAACCAGCAGAAUUCAGUGCACUGAAAGUACCCGGAUGGUGCACUGCAAACGGGCAAAAAAUGUAGUGUAAAACGAUGGACACUACUCGCCCAAGCGGCCGCCAUCUUGGCGACGUAGCGGAAGAGGAGGAGCCCUUUCGCCAGCUUUUCAUUUUAUUUCUAAAACAAUGGCGGACAGCACAAGCGGUAGACCACGAAGCUACGGACCGUAAAUAGACGUUUCCUGGAGGUGCUGGUGCUGGUCCUCUGCUGCCCUCCCGACAUCUGCAUCUGGCUCCAAUGACCUCUGGCACAAACCUCACAUCCACCUCCAGGGCCUUUAAGAAGAUGGACCACCAUCGCGUCUUCAGUAUCCCGAAGGACCUCUCCACAACACACCUCGCCUUUGACAGGCAGCAGUUGUAGCUUGGAGGUGGACAGGCUGCCUGAAGGGGGUCAUGAGGCAGAUGGGUUGGGACAGGCAGGGAUAGCCACCAUCCCCAAGGAUACAGUAUCCUGGUGGAGGGUAUGACUGCUCAUAGAAGAUGGGGCUGUUAUUCAGGACCCUGGCAUCAUGCACUGAGCCCGGGGCCUGUCGAAGGCCCUGGCCACCACCCGAUAGGAGGUGGCGCUGGCAAGCCAAAAAAUACAAACUAGACAGGAGAUCUCGGGGCCCCAACCGUGGUCACAGUCAGUGCCCAGCACAGCCAUGAGGGCGUUGAAUGACACUCGGUGAGCCUGAAGUCCACCCUCAUGUCACUGUGGCCAUCACAAUACAACGCCAGCAGUGGCAUUGCAACAUUGAUACGGCAGCGCCGCUGGGACUGGGUGGCUGCUGUACAGUGUGUGGGGAGGGGAAGGGAAGAUUAUAUUAAUAUGCAAGUCAUUUUAUCAAUAAAAUGUUGUCAUUGA